rnacentral:tRNA from 1 species
UCCCGAGUUGCUCAAAUGGUAAAGCUUAUGCUUGAACUGCAGGAGACCCAGGUUCAAUCCCUGGAUUGGGAA